rnacentral:rRNA from 1 species
GGUUUCCACCAGAUCACCCAGAACAUGUCCAAUCUCAUAUGAAUUCAGAAACUAAGCAGGGUCAGUAGUGGUUAAUACUUGGAUGGGAGGCCAUUAGACAUGGCUGGAUAGAUGGUU